rnacentral:rRNA from 1 species
GACGAACGCUGGCGGCGUGCUUAACACAUGCAAGUCGAACGGAAAGGCCCUGCUUUUGUGGGGUGCUCGAGUGGCGAACGGGUGAGUAACACGUGAGUAACCUGCCCUUGACUUUGGGAUAACUUCAGGAAACUGGGGCUAAUACCGGAUAGGAGCUCCUGCUGCAUGGUGGGGGUUGGAAAGUUUCGGCGGUUGGGGAUGGACUCGCGGCUUAUGAGCUUGUUGGUGGGGUAGUGGCUUACCAAGGCUUUGACGGGUAGCCGGCCUGGGAGGGUGACCGGCCACAUUGGGACUGAGAUACGGCCCAGUCUCCUACGGUAGGCAGCAGUGGGGAAUAUUGCACAAUGGGCGGAAGCCUGAUGCAGCAACGCCGCGUGCGGGAUGACGGCCUUCGGGUUGUAAACCGCUUUCGCCUGUGACGAAGCGUGAGUGACGGUAAUGGGUAAAGAAGCACCGGCUAACUACGUG